rnacentral:tRNA from 1 species
GGCGCGGUAGCUCAGUGGUAGAGCGGAGGUUUCAUAAGCCUCAUGUCGGCAGUUCGAUCCUGCCCCGCGCCA